UACGGAGGGUGCAAGCGUUAUCCGGAUUCACUGGGUUUAAAGGGUGCGUAGGUGGGUUAGUAAGUCAGUGGUGAAAUCCCCGAGCUUAACUUGGGAACUGCCAUUGAUACUAUUGAUCUUGAAUACCGUGGAGGUUGGCGGAAUAUGUCAUGUAGCGGUGAAAUGCUUAGAUAUGACAUAGAACACCAAUUGCGAAGGCAGCUGACUACACGGAUAUUGACGCUGAGGCACGAAAGCGUGGGGAUCAAACAGG
rnacentral:rRNA from 1 species